CUUCGGGCCUUGGUAGCUGCAGCUGCGUGAAGUUGACCGCCUGGGGAGUACGGUGUAGUUAAAACUCGAAAUUGACGAGGGACCCGCACAAGCGGUGGAUGAUGUGGAUUAAUUCGAUGCAACGCGAAAACCUUACCUUGACAUGUCUGGAAUCCCGAAGAGAUUUGGGAGUGCUCGCAAAGAGAACCAGACACAGGUGCUGCAUGGCUGUCGUCAGCUCGUGUCGUGAGAUGUUGGGUUAAGUCCCGCAACAGAGCACAACCCUUGUCAUUAGUUGCUACGAAAGGGCACUCUAAUGAGACUGCCGGUAUUGACAAACCGGAGGAAGGUGGGGAUGACGUCAAGUCCUCAUGGCCCUUAUGGGUAGGGCUUCACACGUCAUACAAUGGUCGGGACGGAGAGGGUCAGCAACCCGCGAGGAGCCAAUCCGAGAAACCCGAUCACGGCAGGCCGGACCGCAGUCUGCAACUCGACUGCGUGAAGUGGAAUCGCUAAGUAAUCGCGGAUCAGCAUGUGUCGCGGUGAAUACGUUCCCGGGUCUUGUACACACCGCCCGUACACCAUGCGGGAGUGGGUUUUACCAGAAGUAGUUAGCCUAACCGUAAGGAGGGCGAUUACCCUGUUAGGAUUCAUGACUGGGGUGAAGUCGUAACAAGGUAG
rnacentral:misc_RNA from 1 species